GGCGACGUGGGCACGGGGGCACGGUCCAAGCUCGGGCGGGGGGGAGCGGGAGGGAAUAUUGCACAAUGGGCGAAAGCCUGAUGCAGCAACGCCGCGUGAGGGAUGAAGGCCUUCGGGUCGUAAAACGCUGUCCUCAAGGAAGAUAAUGACGGUACUUGAGGAGGAAGCCCCGGCUAACUACGUGCCAGCAGCCGCGGUAAUACGUAGGGGGCUAGCGUUAGCCGGAUUUACUGGGCGUAAAGGGUGCGUAGGCGGUCUUUCAAGUCAGGAGUGAAAGGCUACGGCUCAACCGUAGUAAGCUCUUGAAACUGGGAGACUUGAGUGCAGGAGAGGAGAGUGGAAUUCCUAGUGUAGCGGUGAAAUGCGUAGAUAUUAGGAGGAACACCAGUUGCGAAGGCGGCUCUCUGGACUGUAACUGACGC
rnacentral:rRNA from 1 species